rnacentral:rRNA from 1 species
GGGUUGUGAGGUUAAGCGACUAAGCGUACACGGUGGAUGCCCUGGCAGUCAGAGGCGAUGAAGGACGUGCUAAUCUGCGAUAAGCGUCGGUAAGGUGAUAUGAACCGUUAUAACCGGCGAUUUCCGAAUGGGGAAACCCAGUGUGUUUCGACACACUAUCAUUAACUGAAUCCAUAGGUUAAUGAGGCGAACCGGGGGAACUGAAACAUCUAAGUACCCCGAGGAAAAGAAAUCAACCGAGAUUCCCCCAGUAGCGGCGAGCGAACGGGGAGCAGCCCAGAGCCUGAAUCAGUGUGUGUGUUAGUGGAAGCGUCUGGAAAGGCGCGCGAUACAGGGUGACAGCCCCGUACACAAAAAUGCACAUGCUGUGAGCUCGAUGAGUAGGGCGGGACACGUGGUAUCCUGUCUGAAUAUGGGGGGACCAUCCUCCAAGGCUAAAUACUCCUGACUGACCGAUAGUGAACCAGUACCGUGAGGGAAAGGCGAAAAGAACCCCGGCGAGGGGAGUGAAAAAGAACCUGAAACCGUGUACGUACAAGCAGUGGGAGCACGCUUAGGCGUGUGACUGCGUACCUUUUGUAUAAUGGGUCAGCGACUUAUAUUCUGUAGCAAGGUUAACCGAAUAGGGGAGCCGAAGGGAAACCGAGUCUUAACUGGGCGUUAAGUUGCAGGGUAUAGACCCGAAACCCGGUGAUCUAGCCAUGGGCAGGUUGAAGGUUGGGUAACACUAACUGGAGGACCGAACCGACUAAUGUUGAAAAAUUAGCGGAUGACUUGUGGCUGGGGGUGAAAGGCCAAUCAAACCGGGAGAUAGCUGGUUCUCCCCGAAAGCUAUUUAGGUAGCGCCUCGUGAAUUCAUCUCCGGGGGUAGAGCACUGUUUCGGCAAGGGGGUCAUCCCGACUUACCAACCCGAUGCAAACUGCGAAUACCGGAGAAUGUUAUCACGGGAGACACACGGCGGGUGCUAACGUCCGUCGUGAAGAGGGAAACAACCCAGACCGCCAGCUAAGGUCCCAAAGUCAUGGUUAAGUGGGAAACGAUGUGGGAAGGCCCAGACAGCCAGGAUGUUGGCUUAGAAGCAGCCAUCAUUUAAAGAAAGCGUAAUAGCUCACUGGUCGAGUCGGCCUGCGCGGAAGAUGUAACGGGGCUAAACCAUGCACCGAAGCUGCGGCAGCGACGCUUAUGCGUUGUUGGGUAGGGGAGCGUUCUGUAAGCCUGUGAAGGUGUGCUGUGAGGCAUGCUGGAGGUAUCAGAAGUGCGAAUGCUGACAUAAGUAACGAUAAAGCGGGUGAAAAGCCCGCUCGCCGGAAGACCAAGGGUUCCUGUCCAACGUUAAUCGGGGCAGGGUGAGUCGACCCCUAAGGCGAGGCCGAAAGGCGUAGUCGAUGGGAAACAGGUUAAUAUUCCUGUACUUGGUGUUACUGCGAAGGGGGGACGGAGAAGGCUAUGUUGGCCGGGCGACGGUUGUCCCGGUUUAAGCGUGUAGGCUGGUUUUCCAGGCAAAUCCGGAAAAUCAAGGCUGAGGCGUGAUGACGAGGCACUACGGUGCUGAAGCAACAAAUGCCCUGCUUCCAGGAAAAGCCUCUAAGCAUCAGGUAACAUCAAAUCGUACCCCAAACCGACACAGGUGGUCAGGUAGAGAAUACCAAGGCGCUUGAGAGAACUCGGGUGAAGGAACUAGGCAAAAUGGUGCCGUAACUUCGGGAGAAGGCACGCUGAUACGUAGGUGAAGUCCCUCGCGGAUGGAGCUGAAAUCAGUCGAAGAUACCAGCUGGCUGCAACUGUUUAUUAAAAACACAGCACUGUGCAAACACGAAAGUGGACGUAUACGGUGUGACGCCUGCCCGGUGCCGGAAGGUUAAUUGAUGGGGUCAGCGCAAGCGAAGCUCUUGAUCGAAGCCCCGGUAAACGGCGGCCGUAACUAUAACGGUCCUAAGGUAGCGAAAUUCCUUGUCGGGUAAGUUCCGACCUGCACGAAUGGCGUAAUGAUGGCCAGGCUGUCUCCACCCGAGACUCAGUGAAAUUGAACUCGCUGUGAAGAUGCAGUGUACCCGCGGCAAGACGGAAAGACCCCGUGAACCUUUACUAUAGCUUGACACUGAACAUUGAGCCUUGAUGUGUAGGAUAGGUGGGAGGCUUGGAAGUGUGGACGCCAGUCUGCAUGGAGCCGACCUUGAAAUACCACCCUUUAAUGUUUGAUGUUCUAACGUUGACCCGUGAUCCGGGUUGCGGACAGUGUCUGGUGGGUAGUUUGACUGGGGCGGUCUCCUCCUAAAGAGUAACGGAGGAGCACGAAGGUUGGCUAAUCCUGGUCGGACAUCAGGAGGUUAGUGCAAUGGCAUAAGCCAGCUUGACUGCGAGCGUGACGGCGCGAGCAGGUGCGAAAGCAGGUCAUAGUGAUCCGGUGGUUCUGAAUGGAAGGGCCAUCGCUCAACGGAUAAAAGGUACUCCGGGGAUAACAGGCUGAUACCGCCCAAGAGUUCAUAUCGACGGCGGUGUUUGGCACCUCGAUGUCGGCUCAUCACAUCCUGGGGCUGAAGUAGGUCCCAAGGGUAUGGCUGUUCGCCAUUUAAAGUGGUACGCGAGCUGGGUUUAGAACGUCGUGAGACAGUUCGGUCCCUAUCUGCCGUGGGCGCUGGAGAACUGAGGGGGGCUGCUCCUAGUACGAGAGGACCGGAGUGGACGCAUCACUGGUGUUCGGGUUGUCAUGCCAAUGGCACUGCCCGGUAGCUAAAUGCGGAAGAGAUAAGUGCUGAAAGCAUCUAAGCACGAAACUUGCCCCGAGAUGAGUUCUCCCUGACUCCUUGAGAGUCCUGAAGGAACGUUGAAGACGACGACGUUGAUAGGCCGGGUGUGUAAGCGCAGCGAUGCGUUGAGCUAACCGGUACUAAUGAACCGUGAGGCUUAACCUUACAACGCCGAAGGUGUUU